AUGCAUUGGUUUGCUUGGUGGAAGACGUGUGGCCCUAAAGAAAGAGGUGGAAUGGGGUUCCGUGAUAUACAAAGUUUCAACCUAGCUAUGCUUGCUAAGCAAUGUUGGAGACUUAUUGAAAACUUUGACUCUUUAUGUGCCAUAGUGAUUCGUUCUAAAUAUUAUCCAAGCGGUGAUCUACUUAAUUGCGAUCUAAAGAAAGCCUCAUCAUAUGUGUGGCAAAGUAUAUGGGCAACCAUUGCAUCCAAAUCUCAAAGCUAG
rnacentral:rRNA from 1 species